GAUCCUCGGAUUUAUGUCUCAGAGCAUAACUUCGCUUUGUUUUUAAUGGAAGUGUUACUCAUGGCUUCUGUUCAGUUAUUGUACCCUGGUUGACUGUGAUUAGUUUAUCUUGGUGGUGUUGUCGGCAAAAAGAACUGGAACCUACACUCCACUUGGAUCUGUGACUCAAGACUUUUCUUCCCCAGUUCAAAGUUUCUCAGAGUAGGGAGAGCAAACCUUCUUUGUUGCGUUCAUUGAUAUCCAUUGAAGGCAACCAAACCUUUGAAAAACAAGUGUCAACAACACAACCGCCGUGACCCCCUCCUUUGACGACCCCAGGGACUCAAUAUAAAGCACCGCUCCGACGCACCUGGACGCGGAACCUCCAACUGAGAGACAUUCUCCUUACCUAUCUUCUGAGGCUGA